GCACGGGGAAGAGGGUGCGUCCUGGUCGCAACGUGGAGGAUGCGGAGUGUCGCACAGGCGUGCCAGGCUAAGGGAGCCACACGAGCAAAGAUAAUACGAGUCCCUGGUAAAACUGAAAAGAUGCAAAAGUGUACACAGUGAAAAAAAUAAGCCUGCCUCCUACUCUUAGAGCCAAGCCACCUGAACCCUUCCCCAGAGACAACUGCUAUCAUCAAUUUCUUGCUUACUAAUUCCAGAGAUCCUUUAGAUGGAGAAGACAUGGAGGAGGACUAGGAGUCUGGAGCUGGAGCUUCAGGCGUCACUAGAUGGAUGGAUCUUAAGUUUCUGAAUCACUGUGUGGAAAGCCACCUG